CAUGCAAGUCGAACGGCAGCACGAGAAGCUUGCUUCUUGGUGGCGAGUGGCGGACGGGUGAGUAAUACCUAGAUACCUUCCCCAGAGAGGGGGAUAACCUUGGGAAACCAGGGCUAAUACCGCAUGGUCUCGAGAGAGUAAAGGAUGGAUACAUUCGCUCUGGGAUGGUUCUAGGCUCUAUCAGCUUGUUGGGGAGGUAAUGGCUCCCCAAGGCGACGACGGAUAGCCGGCUUGAGAGGGCGAUCGGCCACAUUGGGACUGAGAUACGGCCCAGACUCCUACGGGAGGCAGCAGUUAAGAAUCUUACGCAAUGGGCGCAAGCCUGACGUAGCCAUGCCGCGUGAACGAUGAAGGUUUUCGGAUUGUAAAGUUCAUUAAAAUAAGAAGAAUAAGUCGGUUCUAAUAGGGCCGACGAUGACGGUAUUAUUCUACAGCCCCGGCUAAUUACGUGCCAGCAGCCGCGGUAAUACGUAAGGGGCAAGCGUUGUUCGGAAUUAUUGGGCGUAAAGAGCGCGUAGGCGGAUGGGAAAGUUGAAUGUUUAAUCGUCGGGCUCAACCCGAUAUCGGCAUUCAAAACUCCCUGUCUAGAGUUUUGGAGAGGAAAGUGGAAUUCUCGGUGUAGCGGUGGGAUGCGUAGAUAUCGAGAGGAAGACCAAAGGCGAAGGCAGCUUUCUGGACAAUAACUGACGCUGAUGUGCGAAAGCGUGGGGAGCGAACAGGAUUAGAUACCCUGGUAGUCCACGCCGUAAACGUUGUGUACUAGGUGUUGGGUCUUUCAAUGGACUCAGUAUCGUCGCUAACGCAUUAAGUACACCGCCUGGGGAGUACGCUCGCAAGGGUGAAACUCAAAGGAAUUGACGGGAGCCCGCACAAGCGGUGGAGCAUGUGGUUUAAUUCGAUGAUACGCGAAGAACCUUACCCAGACUUGACAUUCUUUAGAUUGAUGUAGAUAUACAUCUUCCCUUGUGGCUAAAGAACAGGUGCUGCAUGGUUGUCGACAGCUCGUGUUGGUG
rnacentral:rRNA from 1 species